rnacentral:misc_RNA from 1 species
GAAAUGCGAUAAGUAAUGUGAAUUGCAGAAUUCCGUGAAUCAUCGAAUCUUUGAACGCACAUUGCGCCCUCUGGCAUUCCGGGGGGCAUGCCUGUCCGAGCGUCAUUACGCACCCUCAAGCCCGGCUUGUGUGAUGGGCCCCGGCGUCUCGUUCGCGAGACGGGCCCGAAAGGCAGCGGCGGCGUCGACCCGAUGAGCCCGAGCGUAUGGGGACUUCUGUCACACGUUCGCGGUGCGGACCGGCGCCUGCUUGACUUUUCUGAUUAACCAGGUUGACCUCGGAUCAGGUAGGGAUACCCGCUGAACUUAAGC